UACGGAGGGGGCUAGCGUUGUUCGGAAUUACUGGGCGUAAAGCGCACGUAGGCGGCUUUGUAAGUUAGAGGUGAAAGCCCGGGGCUCAACUCCGGAAUUGCCUUUAAGACUGCAUCGCUCGAAUUGUGGAGAGGUAAGUGGAAUUCCGAGUGUAGAGGUGAAAUUCGUAGAUAUUCGGAGGAACACCUGCGGCGAAGGCGGGCACCUGGGCUAACACUGACGCUGAGGCGCGAAAGCUAGGGGAGCAAACAGG
rnacentral:rRNA from 1 species